UUCCACACUUGUCCCCUCCUCUCCCAGUUUUCUCCUCUGCCAAGCUGGAUCUCCAGCAGGACGACAGAGGACGGACAAACGCUGGAAAGUAGGACAAAAUAACCAGGGUCAGUUGUAUGAGGAAGCUGGAUAAACAGAUGAGGAGGACGAAGAUCUCAUGCCUCACUGGUGCACGAAUCAUCUUUGGAAACAAGUCGGUCACCGUGUCAGCAGAAUGAGCAUCAGGAAGAAGCAGACAGUCCAGAACUGUGGUAAAGGCAUCAUAGCUGUUGCCUGAGGAUAAGCAAUGAAGGCCAAACCUGGACCUGUGGUUUGGAGAAAAAGUGUCGACAGUAACACCCUGUUUCUGAGCCAUGAAUCCGAGCACUGAGAAGACGACAAAUCCAGCAACAAAACUGGUCCCACCGUUCAGUAAACAGAGCCAAAAGCAGUCUCUAGAGGUCAAGAGGAUCUGACACCUUUCCAGAUACUGAAGUAACAGACCACCCAGCAGGCCAGAAGACACAGAGCCAGCUCCCAUCGCACACCGCCCAGCUCCUCAAUGCCUCCAGACAUGGCCAGCACACGUCGUCUCAAGAGAAAUAUAAGAGGUGUUCUCACAGCUGGCCCAGGGGAUCUGGGAUCUGAACGAGAACACCAGUUCAACUCAAAUCAUCCCACCUUGUGCCAGUGGACACAUUUUCCUCCAAGACGUGAUGAAUCCUUCCUGGGUGUACUGACCAACUGAGCUCUCCAGCAGGAACAGAAGGAUCCCACACACCACAGCUAACAGACCGUAUGGCACCAGAAAAGCACCUGUAGUAAACACAGAGACAUGAGUUGUCAUGGAAAUGACAAAUUAAUUCAGUGAUAUCUUUUAAUUGCCAAUCCUCAUUAUUCAUUUUUUCCAGUCC